GAGUUGAUGGAUUGUAUUGUAGGAUUUGUAGGCAUCACGUAAUUAGUGAAAGUCCGAAAGCGAGUGUGCAAGAAAGAGGAAGCGUAGAUCUAAAAAUCUAAAAUCUUCAUCCUCGAGAUCUUCCAUCUGGGUUUGGGAUUGAAGAAAUGGCGAAGCUAGAGUUGUACGAGGAACCAUCAAAGGAAACGAAGAAGAAGAAGACAGGGAAGAGGAAACACGGAUCGACCAGGCUCUUCGUCUUGGUCGAUUACCUUUUCCUCUUCAUAUUCUUCUGUUUCCUCUGCUUCAUUGUCAGCAAAAUGUUCGGGUUUUGAUCGAUUCUACCGGAUGAUGAUGAUGAUGAUGAUACAAGUGUGUCCUCAAGCUUGGGAACAACUGUGACUUAUCAAGAUUAUAUAAUUAUGGAAUUUGGAUUUUUUAAAAAUUUAUUUUAGUCCCACAAUUUUUAUGGUUACUUGCUUUUGGAGACCUUAUCAACCUUUGCCUUGAGGGCCUUUACAAAUUGGUUCAUGUAACACCAAACCAAACACUAAUUGUAAUUUGUUUUAGAUUGGUUCAAUGAUUAGAUUGCUUUGAUUUGUAUCACACUA